CGCCCCGAUUGUCAGGGGCGAGGAAGCCCCGCCCCGGGCCGGGCGUGCGCCUUUUCUGACAAGCAGGGCCUCCCAGCUCUUACCCUCAACCCUCGCGGGGCUGUCACCAAAACCCUCACGCGUCCUGCGGACUGCAACCUCCACUCGGCAGGGAGAAAACGACAUGGCGGCGGCCAAGCCCGAGAACCUCUCUCUGGUGGUGCACGGACCCGGAGACCUGCGCCUGGAGAACUAUCCUAUCCCUGAACCAGGCCCAAAUGAAGUGCUGCUGAAGAUGCAUUCCGUCGGGAUCUGCGGCUCUGAUGUCCACUACUGGCAGCACGGUCGAAUUGGGAAUUUUAUUGUGGAAAAGCCAAUGGUGCUGGGACAUGAAGCUUCAGGGACAGUCGUAAAAGUGGGAUCACUGGUCAAGCACCUAAAACCAGGGGAUCGUGUUGCCAUCGAGCCUGGCGCUCUGCGAGAAAUGGAUGAAUUCUGCAAGAUUGGCCGGUACAAUCUGUCGCCAUCCAUCUUCUUCUGUGCCACGCCCCCUGAUGACGGGAACCUCUGCCGGUUUUAUAAGCACAACGCUGACUUCUGCUACAAGCUUCCUGACAAUGUCACCUUUGAAGAAGGGGCCCUGAUUGAACCACUCUCUGUGGGGAUCCAUGCCUGCCGGCGAGCUGGAAUCACCCUGGGGAACAACGUCUUUGUGUGUGGAGCUGGGCCGAUAGGACUGGUCACUCUGAUCGUGGCCAAGGCAAUGGGUGCAGCUCAAGUGCUGGUGACUGAUCUGUCUGCCUCUCGGUUGUCCAAAGCCAAGGAAGUAGGGGCUGAUAUCGUCCUCCAGAUCUCCAAGGAGAGCCCUAAGGAAAUUGCCAGUAAAGUGGAAGAUCUGCUGGGGUGCAAGCCGGAAGUGACCAUCGAGUGCACAGGGGCAGAGCCCGCCAUUCAGUCAGGCAUCUAUGCUACUCGUUCUGGUGGGACCCUGGUGCUCGUAGGGCUGGGCUCCGAGAUGACCACCGUGCCCCUGGUGCAUGCGGCCAUCCGGGAGGUGGAUAUCAAGGGCGUGUUUCGAUAUUGCAACACGUGGCCGAUGGCGAUUUCGAUGCUUGCCUCCAAGUCUGUGAACAUAAAGCCCUUAGUCACCCAUAGGUUCCCCCUGGAGAAAGCUCUGGAAGCCUUUGAAACAGCCAGAAAGGGAUUGGGGUUGAAAGUCAUGCUCAAGUGCGACCCCAAGGACCAGAACCCCUAAUAUGAAUUGGGCUCUGCCCUCAUCCCCACCCCACUGCCAGUAUCUCAGGGCAGGGGAGGGCUGUGAUGCACAAGUUUCUUUUGAGUAGCAAGAAUAAUUAAAAUAAUUCAUUAUAAGCAGAGAACCUUACACAGAGGAAUUGGUGUGCCUUAAAAAUACAAGUAGGGAGAGUUUGGGGAAAUUUGUAGCCAGAGUGACCUAACUGUUCAUACAGAGCAAAGUUCAGCAAGUAGAACAGAGUUUGUUAGGCAGGUGCUGGGGAAUUCCCCUUCUUCCUGGAAUGCCUGGUUAAGUAAGGAAAGAAAUCUGCCCAUUGGGUUCCUGGUUCCACAGUGAACGGCCAGAUGGUGGUGGGAGCUAAAUUACGAAGAGAUAACUUUAUCCAGACUCAACUGGCACAGAAAUUAAUUUCCAUGAAAAAUCUCAUUUCAGGGUCUGGGAUGAAGGACUGUCAGCAGUUUUUAGAGCACAACAUUUCUAGACAUUAAGUGCCAUUUGGUUUGAUGAUAAAAGGAGACUUUAAGGAACUGGGUCUAGGAUCAUUUUUAAAUCAACUAAAAAAAAACCCCAAAAAAUGAAAUCCCAAGUGAGGUCCCACCAGCUUGCAUUCCCCAAUUGUAGAAAUAGUCAGGAGAGUUCUCAAUACUGCUGGAAGAUUGCCUCUUCUUCAGCUCCCGAGAACUCUGUGUACAUUAAACUGCCUUCCCCACACUCCCCACCUGCACCCUUCUGCAUUCAGGGGCCAACACUCUGGGCUCCUUUGUCACUAGGCAACCAGGAGGCUCCUUCCUUAAGGCAAGUCAAGGGGAGUCCUCCUGGGAGACUUACCCAGGAGGGUUUGGCCAGUGCACUUGUCUUCCCACCCCACAGGGUGAGCAUUCUCUUCACACUCACUGAUGAUAGACAAUUCCAUUAAAUUCUGGUGAUUAUAAACAGAAUUCACUCCUCCUUCUCAUAGACCGUGAACGCUCUUGGUAUCUUUCUGUCAGAAUGAUCUCUCCCAUCUUAUUUUAAUCAUAGGGUUUUCCUGUGUAAGAUUUGGGUGCAAAUCACUGGAUGCCCAUUUGUGACUUUGAGAUUAUUAGUCAAGAAUGAGGAUAUUGUAGUGGUGACAUAACUUGACCUGCAGCCUUUUUAUCCUUCCCUUCAGCUGGGAGUGGAGGCUGAGUUUGAAGAGGCUCUGGCUUUCUUGUGACUGGGAAGGGCCGUGACCGAUGCUUGGAAUCCCUCAGACUACUUUGGUCGUGACUGGGCUGGAUCUUCCAAGUCGGUGGCCUGCAGUCUCUGUUUCCCGGUGCUUCUGGCAUGUGGGCAACCGUGAAGAGUGGACAGCCUGAUGGGAAACAGCAGCUCAGAGAGCACCUCCCCUUUCCAAACGCGCCCACCGCUCCCAAGCCGCGGCGCACUUUGGUAGCUCCGAAGCAGGGGCAGAGAGGGUGGCAGGAGAGGCCACCGAGGCUGGCUACCCAGUGAGCCCUCCGGGCGGUGAGGGUGAGAGGGCCUGAGCUCUGCCUGGCUCCCUGGCCUCUGCAGCCUUGUUGAAUGUUCCCCCUGCUGUUGGGAAGUGCAGGAAGCCCAGGAAUUAAUUCCUCCCACCACCUCCACCGUGUGCUCAAUAAAUAUUGAUUAAC